AGUGAACGCUGGCGGUAGGCCUAACACAUGCAAGUCGAACGGCAGCACAGUAAGAGCUUGCUCUUACGGGUGGCGAGUGGCGGACGGGUGAGGAAUACAUCGGAAUCUACUUUUUCGUGGGGGAUAACGUAGGGAAACUUACGCUAAUACCGCAUACGACCUACGGGUGAAAGCAGGGGAUCUUCGGACCUUGCGCGAUAGAAUGAGCCGAUGUCGGAUUAGCUAGUUGGCGGGGUAAAGGCCCACCAAGGCGACGAUCCGUAGCUGGUCUGAGAGGAUGAUCAGCCACACUGGAACUGAGACACGGUCCAGACUCCUACGGGAGGCAGCAGUGGGGAAUAUUGGACAAUGGGCGCAAGCCUGAUCCAGCCAUACCGCGUGGGUGAAGAAGGCCUUCGGGUUGUAAAGCCCCUUUGUUGGGAAAGAAAAGCAGCAGGUUAAUACCCCGCUGUUCUGACGGUACCCAAAGAAUAAGCACCGGCUAACUUCGUG
rnacentral:rRNA from 1 species